AAUGAACGCUGGCGGCAGGCCUAACACAUGCAAGUCGAACGGAUCCUUCGGGAUUAGUGGCGGACGGGUGAGUAACGCGUGGGAACAUACCCAAAGGUACGGAAUAGCCUCGGGAAACUGGGAGUAAUACCGUAUGUGCUCGAAAGAGGAAAGAUCUAUCGCCUUUGGAUUGGCCCGCGUUGGAUUAGGUAGGUGGUGGGGUAAUGGCCUACCAAGCCGACGAUCCAUAGCUGGUUUGAGAGGAUGAUCAGCCACACUGGGACUGAGACACGGCCCAGACUCCUACGGGAGGCAGCAGUGGGGAAUCUUAGACAAUGGGGGAAACCCUGAUCUAGCCAUGCCGCGUGAUCGAUGAAGGCCUUAGGGUUGUAAAGAUCUUUCAGGUGGGAAGAUAAUGACUGUACCACCAGAAGAAGCCCCGGCUAACUCCGUGCCAGCCGCCGCGGUAA
rnacentral:rRNA from 1 species